rnacentral:rRNA from 1 species
GACGAACGCUGGCGGCGUGCUUAACACAUGCAAGUCGAACGGAAAGGCCCUGCUUUUGUGGGGUGCUCGAGUGGCGAACGGGUGAGUAACACGUGAGUAACCUGCCCUUGACUUUGGGAUAACUUCAGGAAACUGGGGCUAAUACCGGAUAGGAGCUCCUGCUGCAUGGUGGGGGUUGGAAAGUUUCGGCGGUUGGGGAUGGACUCGCGGCUUAUCAGCUUGUUGGUGGGGUAGUGGCUUACCAAGGCUUUGACGGGUAGCCGGCCUGAGAGGGUGACCGGCCACAUGGGGACUGAGGUACGGACCAGACUCCUACGGGAGGCAGCAGUGGGGAAUAUUGCACAAUGGGAGGAAGCCUGAUGAAGAAACGCCGCGUGCGGGAUGACGGCCUUCGGGGUGUAAACCGCUUUCGCCUGUGACGAAGCGUGAGUGACGGUAAUGGGUAAAGAAGCACCGGCUAACUACGUG